GGAGAGGUGGCCGAGUGGCCGAAGGCAACGGUUUGCUAAACCGUCACAGGGGUAAAACCUUGUCGCGGGUUCAAAUCCCGCCCUCUCCGCCA
rnacentral:tRNA from 1 species